UGGGGAAUUUUGGACAAUGGACGCAAGUCUGAUCCAGCCAUGCCGCGUGCGGGAAGAAGGCCUUCGGGUUGUAAACCGCUUUUGUCAGGGAAGAAACGAGUUUCUCUAAUACAGAGACUUAAUGACGGUACCUGAAGAAUAAGCACCGGCUAACUACGUGCCAGCAGCCGCGGUAAUACGUAGGGUGCAAGCGUUAAUCGGAAUUACUGGGCGUAAAGCGUGCGCAGGCGGUUAUGCAAGACAGAUGUGAAAUCCCCGGGCUCAACCUGGGAACUGCAUUUGUGACUGCACAGCUGGAGUGCGGCAGAGGGGGAUGGAAUUCCGCGUGUAGCAGUGAAAUGCGUAGAUAUGCGGAGGAACACCGAUGGCGAAGGCAAUCCCCUGGGCCUGCACUGACGCUCAUGCACGAAAGCGUGGGGAGCAAACA
rnacentral:rRNA from 1 species